CAGCCGCCGCGGGAAUACAGAGGAUGCAAGCGUUAUCCGGAAUGAUUGGGCGUAAAGCGUCUGUAGGCGGCUUUUCAAGUCCGCCGUCAAAUCCCAGGGCUCAACCCUGGACAGGCGGUGGAAACUACCAAGCUGGAGUACGGUAGGGGCAGAGGGAAUUUCCGGUGGAGUGGUGAAAUGCGUUGAGAUCGGAAGGAACACCAACGACGAAAGCACUCUGCUGGGCCGACACUGACACUGAGAGACGAAAGCUAGGGGAGCAAAUGGGAUUAGAGACCCCUGUAGUCCCUGUCUCUUAUAC
rnacentral:rRNA from 1 species